rnacentral:rRNA from 1 species
AUUGAACGCUGGCGGCAGGCCUAACACAUGCAAGUCGAGCGGAUGAAGGGAGCUUGCUCCUGGAUUCAGCGGCGGACGGGUGAGUAAUGCCUAGGAAUCUGCCUGGUAGUGGGGGAUAACGUCCGGAAACGGGCGCUAAUACCGCAUACGUCCUGAUGGAGCAAGUGGGGGAUCUUCGGACCUCACGCUAUCAGAUGAGCCUAGGUCGGAUUAGCUAGUUGGUGGGGUAAAGGCCUACCAAGGCGACGAACCGUAACUGGUCUGAGAGGAUGAUCAGUCACACUGGAACUGAGACAGGGUCCAGACUCCUACGGGAAGCAGCAGUCGGGAAUAUUGGACGAUGGGCGAGAGCCUGAUCCAGGCCUGCCGCGUAUGUGAUGAAGGUCUUCUGAUUGGAGAGCGCUGUAAGUUGGGAGGAAGUGCAGUAAGUUAAUACCUUACUGUAUUGACGGUACCAACAGAAUAAGCACCGGCUAACUUCGUG